GUCGGAUGCGGAACGGAG
rnacentral:snRNA from 1 species